UUUCACAUUUCCUUAGAUCAUCUGUAUAUUUAUGUUAAAUUAUAGUCGUCGUUUUAUUUGUUUUUUUCAUAUUUGACACCCUAAUCCAGACUUCCUACAGAAACAAAACGUAGUGUCGAGCUGUUCGGGAAUUCAGUGAAGACGCCUCACCUGGCUUAUGGAUGGCUGUGGGAACCCUGCUAAUGCCGUUAUAGACCUGUUAGAGGGCUCUGUGUAAUGUCCUCUGAAAGACCAACUGUCCAAUUUGCAGUAUGGCCAUCCCUUCAGAAACCGCACAGAUUCAUGACAGCAUAUGUGGGGAGAGUUUCCCAAAAGAUGGAAGUGCACCUGAAGGCUGAGAUGGAAGUGCACCUGAAGGCUGAGAUGGAAGCCAAUCUGGACGAGCACAAGUUAAUCAAAGGAGUGUGACUGGACCAUCAUACGACCACAGUGGCUCCUGAUGCAGCAUGUGUGACAUGUCUGUCUUGUAUUAGUUUUUGAUGAAUGUGAAAGUGAA